rnacentral:rRNA from 1 species
GACGAACGCUGGCGGUGUGCUUAACACAUGCAAGUCGAACGGUAAGGCCCUUUCGGGGGUACACGAGUGGCGAACGGGUGCGUAACACGUGAGUAACCUGCCCUCAUCUCUGGGAUAACAGUCGGAAACGGUUGCUAAUACUGGAUAUGAGCCUGCAAGGCAUCUUGUGGGUUGGAAAGAUUUUUUGGUUGGGGAUGGACUCGCGGCCUAUCAGCUUGUUGGUGAGGUAGUGGCUCACCAAGGCUUCGACGGGUAGCCGGCCUGAGAGGGCGACCGGCCACAUUGGGACUGAGAUACGGCCCAAACUCCUACGGGAGGCAGCAGUGGGGAAUAUUGCACAAUGGACGGAAGUCUGAUGCAGCAACGCCGCGUGCGGGAUGACGGCCUUCGGGUUGUAAACCGCUUUCAAUUGUGACGAAGCUUUUUGUGACGGUAGCAGUAGAAGAAGCACCGGCUAACUACGUG